rnacentral:rRNA from 1 species
CCUACGGGUGGCAGCAGUGGGGAAUUUUGGACAAUGGGGGCAACCCUGAUCCAGCCAUGCCGCGUGAGUGAAGAAGGCCUUCGGGUUGUAAAGCUCUUUCGGCCGGGAAGAAAUCGCUCAAGCUAAUACCUUGGGUGGAUGACGGUACCGGAAGAAGAAGCACCGGCUAACUACGUGCCAGCAGCCGCGGUAAUACGUAGGGUGCACGCGGUGAUCGGAAUUACUGGGCGGAAAGCUAGGACAGAUGGGAAAUCCCCGGGCUUAACCUGGGAACUGCGUUUGUGACUGUGGUGCUCGAGUGCGGCAGAGGGGGGUGGAAUUCCACGUGUAGCAGUGAAAUGCGUAGAGAUGUGGAGGAACACCGAUGGCGAAGGCAGCCCCCUGGGUCGACACUGACGCUCAUGCACGAAAGCGUGGGGAGCAAACAGGAUUAGAUACCCUAGUAGUC